UACAGAGGUCCCAAGCGUUGUUCGGAUUCACUGGGCGUAAAGGGUGCGUAGGUGGCCGGUUAAGUCUGACGUGAAAUCUCCGAGCCUAACUCGGAAACUGCGUCGGAAACUAUCCGGCUCGAGGGUUGGAGGGGGGACUGGAAUACUUGGUGUAGCAGUGAAAUGCGUAGAUAUCAAGUGGAACACCAGUGGCGAAGGCGAGUCUCUGGACAUUUCCUGACGCUGAGGCGCGAAAGCGUGGGGAGCGAACAGG
rnacentral:rRNA from 1 species